UUUGAUCAUGGCUCAGAUUGAACGCUGGCGGCAUGCCUUACACAUGCAAGUCGAACGGUAACGCGGGGCUUCGGGCCUGGCGACGAGUGGCGAACGGGUGAGUAAUACAUCGGAACGUGCCCAGGAGUGGGGGAUAGCUCGGCGAAAGCCGAAUUAAUACCGCAUACGUCCUAUGGGAGAAAGCGGGGGAUCUUCGGACCUCGCGCUCAUGGAGCGGCCGAUGUCGGAUUAGCUAGUUGGUGGGGUAAGAGCCUACCAAGGCGACGAUCCGUAGCUGGUCUGAGAGGAUGAUCAGCCACACUGGGACUGAGACACGGCCCAGACUCCUACGGGAGGCAGCAGUGGGGAAUUUUGGACAAUGGGGGCAACCCUGAUCCAGCCAUGCCGCGUGAGUGAAGAAGGCCUUCGGGUUGUAAAGCUCUUUCGGCCGGAACGAAAUCGCACGGGUCAAUAGCCUGUGUGGAUGACGGUACCGGAAGAAGAAGCACCGGCUAACUACGUGCCAGCCGCCGCGGUAAUAC
rnacentral:rRNA from 1 species